GCUCCGGUGCCGCCGGAGGUUCCGUCGGAUGUCCCUCAUUUUCGGCCGAAUGUCCAUUACCUUCCGCGUUCUUUGUGUUGGCUUUUAAAACUCUGGUGGAUUCAUGAGAACUAUGGUAAACUGC